AGAGAGAGACAUGCGCGCAUAUCAAUAAGCGGAGGAAAAGAAACUAACUAGGAUUCCCUCAGUAACGGCGAGUGAAGCGGGAAGAGCUCAAAUUUGAAAUCUUCAAGGUUCUACCUUGACGAAUUGUAGUUUAAAGAAGUGUUUUCUGUUGGAGUUUUGGUAAAAGUUCUUUGGAAUAGGACAUCAUAGAGGGUGAGAAUCCCGUAUUUGACCAUUAUUUCCAGCUUUGUGAUACACUUUCAAAGAGUCGGAUUGUUUGGGAAUGCAGUCCAAAAUGGGUGGUAAAUUUCAUCUAAAGCUAAAUAUUGGCGAGAGACCGAUAGCGAACAAGUACCGCGAGGGAAAGAUGAAAAGAACUUUGAAAAGAGAGUUAAACAGUACGUGAAAUUGUCAAAAGGGAAGCGUUUGACACCAGUGUUGUUUUCUCGAAAAUCAAUUAAAAAGAGUUAGAUUUUGUUGUGUAUUGACCUUAACAGCUUGCAUUUCAAUUUUCUUGCUUUUUUUAAUGCACUUUUCGUUUAACAAGUCAACAUCAGUUUCUUUUGUUGUAAAAAGGUCAUUGGAAGGUGGCUUUCUUUUCGGAGAAAGUGUUUAUAGCCUUUGGCCUCUGCAACCGGAGAGAUUGAGGUCUGCAGCGUAGAUCCUUCGGGGUUAGAUACAUUUGUGCUAAGUUAUAGCCUUUCAUAGACAACUUGUUGACUAUGAUCAGUCAUGUAGCUUACUCGCUUAUGCUAUUUUACCUACGCUUAGGAUGUUGAUGUGAUACUGCGAGC
rnacentral:rRNA from 1 species